AAUAAAGAAAGCUGUUUCUGCAGAUUCAAAUUUACAAAACAUUUUGCCAGCACACAUGACGUGUGCUAGCAUUGAUUUACCGCAAGAGGUUCUUGACAAAGUACCUGACUACCUGUGGGCUAAAGAUAAAUAUGAUGUGGGUUUGAUUAAAGGGUGUGAACCAGUAGUUAUCACCCCAAAGAGUGAUUACAGACCAUGCAAACCUCAAUACCCUCUGCAAAGGGAGGCGCUUGAGGGAAUAAGGCCAGUAUUUGAGGCCUUAUUGGAGAAAGGGAAAAUUGUUCCCUGCCCAAACUCACCUGUGAGAACACCCAUUUUUCCUGUACAAAAGGUCAGAGAUGCAGGUCAGCCCACAGAGUGGAGGUUUGUUCAAGACCUCCAAGCAGUAAAUGCUGCGGUGCAGGUAAGGGCACCAAACGUGCCGAACCCUUACACAAUUCUCUCACAGAUACCAGCUGACGGCCAGUGGUUUUCUGUAGUGGAUAUUUCAAAUGCAUCUUUCAGUUUCCUGUCCAUCCUGAUAGCCAGUUUUGGUUUACUUUUAUAUUUGAGGGGUACAGCGAGAGCCCCACGAUUUACAACUCUGCAUUGCAUUGUUCAUUUCAGAAACUUGUGUUGGAUGAUGAUGUUGCUUUAUUGCAGUACGUGGAUGACCUCUUGGUGGCGGCACCAACUCAGCAGUCGUGCACAGACAACACCAUACGGUUGCUCACUCAUCUAGCUGAGGAGGGCCACAAGGUCAACCCCAAGAAGGUACAGUGCUCUGUCCAGAAAGUAACCUUUCUAGGACACGAAAUUACACCAAUGGGUAAGUCUCUCUCUCCAAAGAGAAUAGAGGCGAUA